rnacentral:sRNA from 1 species
UCCUUAGAUCUUUUUGCAGGAGUUGAGGGCAAGGGCUGUGUGCUUUGCCUGUUUCAGAAGGUGGACUCUGGCAGCUGUGUGAAGUCUAAAGCUUCGCUUCGCUUCUCUUUUCAGAAGACAGAUGGAGCUCCUAUUGUCUAUCAUCACUGGCUGCCCAGAAUAUUUGUACAAGUAAACUGCACUGCCCUGCUGCCCCCGAGCACACGGACCCGUCCGAGCCCCGGGGCAGUGUGUCCUGCUGCUCCCUGCUGCGGGGACUGUCCUCAGGGUGGUCCUCACCUCUGCUUCCGGCCCCUGUGUGCAACCCUAACAAGGCCAUCUUCACGGUGGAUGCCAAGACCACAGAGAUCCUGGUUACUAACGACAAAGCUUGCAGGCUCCUGGGGUACAGCAGCCAGGACCUGAUUGGCCAGAAGCUCACGCAGUUCUUUCUGAGGUCAGAUUCUGAUGUGGUGGAGGCCCUCAGCGAGGAGCACAUGGAGGCCGACGGCCACGCCGCGGUGGUGUUUGGCACGGUGGUGGACAUCAUCAGCCGUAGUGGGGAGAAGAUUCCAGUGUCUG